ensembl:lncRNA
GUUGUGUCGAGAGAGUGAUGAUUCUGAUCCCGACCGGCAACUGACAUCAAAAAGGAGAAUAAGGAAGCUCAUGUAAAAGUGCAUUAAAAAAUGGGCAGCAACUGAGUUAGAUAUCAUACGACUCUUGUGAUGUGUGUGACGACGAGCAAUCGCCCUCCAUGGUGAUGUGCAUGAAACAGCCAUUUUAUUUUCGCUUGUGGCAAUAGUCUAAUACGAUUGUUAUAUAUAUAUAAUAACAGAAAAUGCCUGCGAGUACCUUUUGUCUAUUAUCGGUGGAGGAGGGCGACCUGGCUGUUAUCGGCACAUGCUCGAUGUCAAUGAAGAUCUCAAGUGAAGGAGCCGCCCUCUAACAGCUGCCUGCACGGGUAAUGAGCCGAGGGUUGACAAAUACAAACAUCCACCAGGAAGCCUCACGCGAGCACAGACGGAAGCAAGAGGGGAGCUUGAUUGUGAGAAAAAAGGGAGAUGAGUUAAUCCAACAUCUGCGUGACCUGCGUUCAAAGUAAAAGACUUUGAUUCCUUUAUCAGGUCUGUUUCGACUUUGGACGCGCUGGGAAUGGACGUGCCGUGCAACUCGGUGUUCAAUGGAGGGGAAGCGGAGGAGGAGAUCCAGAGACAGAUAACGUCCAGCCGCAUGCCGUGAGUGACUGAGAGCCUGCAGGGGCUUUCCUGUUGUGACCCCGCAGGCCGGAGCUGCUGCUGCCGCCGCAGAAAGAUCCGUCUGUUGGGAGGAACCAACGAUCCAUCACAGCUGAAGACCACAAGACGACCUUUGACAGGCGCAGACCCCUCAGCCGUCGGCGGCGCAGCCCGCAGGCCCGUCCGCCCCCGGGAUCAUUCCACCUUCACCAGCAAAGGUCGCAGUUUGAAUUUGAGGCCUCCUCGCUACAUUGAGCGCCUUGUCUUUCACACAGAGGGAGAGUUGGUUGUCACACGGCCGUUUGACUGAUGACCUGUCAAUCGUUUUGGUAAAAAUCACUGUGAUCCUCCUCUGUUCCUGCCUUGACUUCAACAUCGGCGACCAGAAACACUGGUGCUCAUUUACUCUGCUCGGUUUAUUGCAGUGCACUUUAGUGCCGUUUGUUUUCUCUGGUGCGUUGUCGUGCUCUUGUCUUGUGAAGGAAGCAGGAACCACUGAAUGACUGUACUUGGC